rnacentral:rRNA from 1 species
GACGAACGCUGGCGGCGUGCUUAACACAUGCAGGUCGAACGGAAAGGCCCUGCUUGCAGGGUACUCGAGUGGCGAACGGGUGAGUAACACGUGGGUGAUCUGCCCUGCACUUCGGGAUAAGCCUGGGAAACUGGGUCUAAUACCGGAUAGGAGCCAUUUUUAGUGUGAUGGUUGGAAAGUUUUUUCGGUGUAGGAUGAGCUCGCGGCCUAUCAGCUUGUUGGUGGGGUAAUGGCCUACCAAGGCGGCGACGGGUAGCCGGCCUGAGAGGGUGGACGGCCACAUUGGGACUGAGAUACGGCCCAGACUCCGACGGGGGGCAGCAGUGGGGAAUAUUGCACAAUGGGCGCAAGCCUGAUGCAGCGACGCCGCGUGGGGGAUGACGGCCUUCGGGUUGUAAACUCCUUUCGCUAGGGACGAAGCUUUUUGUGACGGUACCUAGAUAAGAAGCACCGGCUAACUACGUG